GUAAUUUAUCAGAGUGUACACAUUAGUAACUUUUAAAUGUUAAUUCUGGUAGCAGCUGAAGCAUCUCCCAAUCCUUCAGGAGAAGCUGAUGCCAUUGUUAUUGCUGCAGAAGAAAUCCCCAUUACCCCUUCUCUAGAGGAUAGCAGUGCUGCUGAUGCUCCAAGUGGGACAUCAGAAGAAGAGCAGCCUUCAGGCUCAACAUGUCCACCAUG